rnacentral:snRNA from 1 species
GUACUUGCUUCUGCAGCACAUAUACUAAAAUUGGAAGGAUACAGAAAAGAUUAGCAUGGCCCCUGUGCAAGGAUGACAUGCAAAUUAGUGAAGCCUUCCAUAAUUUU